UACGGAAGGGGCGAGCGUUGUUCGGAAUCAUUGGGCGUAAAGGGCGCGUAGGUGGUUCUGUAUGUCUGCCGUGAAAGGGUACAGCUCAACUGUAGCUUGUCGGCAGAAACUGCAGGACUUGAGGCUGGGAGGGGCUGGUGGAAUUCCCUGUGUAGCGGUGAAAUGCGUAGAGAUGGGGGAGAACACUCGUGGCGAAGGCGGCCAGCUAGACCAGUUCUGACACUGAGGCGCGACAGCGUGGGGAGCAAACAGG
rnacentral:rRNA from 1 species